AAUUGAUUAUGACGCGUCUAUUGUUUUUAAGUCUAUGGCGUAUAUAGUUUUGUAUAUAUAUAUAGUAGCCGUCAACUGUGAGAACAUACAAGCCCUAUAACCCAAGAUGGCACGACACUUGGUAAUCAUUGUCGCAGUUAUUGUAGCAGCAGCGGCCCUACCCGAACCAGGGAUCCACGUGGUUCACACAGCGCCACUGUACCACGCACCAAUCGUCCACCACGCUCCGAUUGUACACCACGCGCCAAUCUUACACCACGCACCAAUCGUGCAUCACGCACCUAUCGUACAUCACGCACCAAUCGGUUACCAUCAUCCGAUUGUUAAAGUGAAAUCACAUUAUCAUCUUUUUGGUAAAUAAACUGUAGAAUGGUA